GAUUCUGCUCGAGUACGUGAACACAUCUUGUGAUACAGGACAUUGUGUGAUAACAGUAUGAUGUAUUCCUUUGAACCUUACUCUAUAUUCAUGGUGUUGCUCAAUGCAGUGUGUUAUGCUUGAUCAGCUAAAUAUCUGCCAGACAUUACGUUGUUUCAUUUCCCUAUAAAAGUAACACCCCUUGUACAAUAAAGUUGAGCUUAGAAUGAACUACACCACUUGUGUGACUCAUUCUUGGUUCCCGGGUACCUGCUCUUCUCUGCUCAGAUAACCCAACCUGAACCAAAAUAAUAUUUAUGAUCUCGAAGGCAAGAAUAUACAAUUUAUUCUUACAGCUGGGGGCUCGUCCGGGAUAGGGGGGAAUCUCCUAAGAACCAGGGAGUGAAACAUCCCGAGAUCAGGAGAUCAAGAGAAAAAGACGCACCGGUGAAUCAGGCGGACCUACAUAAAAAAGGGGAAAAGCCUACUCACCCCUUUGUUCCAGGACAGAGUGUGCUCAUCAAAAGCCUGAAACCAACGAAGGUGGGAGAACCAAGAUAUCUUGGACCAGCCACUGUGAUCGCAGUAACCCGGACGGGAGUGCUGACAGAUUAUCAACCGCAGUGGAUACAAGCCUCACGCCUGAAGAAUUACUCUACAGGAGAGCAGGCAAGCUCCAAUUUCACAUAGAAUCUCGAACGGGGAUUCACCUUUAUGUUUAACAGGGAGGAAAAGGCACUGGUUAAGCGGAGGAAGGAACUACCUCUUAUAGUGAGGUGGGGGUUGUCCAAAGCAAGAAGAUAGUUGGCCCAUUGAGUCAAAACAGUGCUAACUCCUUAAACCACUCUGUUACCAUUAAGGGCUAAAUUCUAUUGAUGGACAUACCACCGUUGAUUUCAACGAGGAACUUGGAUUCUACACACUGUUGUGCCUAUUGUUAUAUUCAUAGUGAUUCUUCUGCUAAUAGCACCCUGUAUGAUGCAAUGUAUUAGUACUUCUAUAAUGCGUUCUGUUACAGCGCUCACUACAGGAAAUACCUACCAAGCAAUGCUGCAUGUAUCCAAUCCAGUACAGACCUUUGUUAGGGUUCCAGAGCAGUUGGAGAUGAAUGUGAUUGAAGCUGAGGAUUUCCCAACAGAUGCUGAUAGCUCUACUGGAGAUGAUUAUGUGCACACUUAUGAGUUAGAGCCUGAACUGUAUAACAGAAAUGAAUACUAACUGAAGAUAUAUAUCACAUUUGAUUACUGUGUAUGAAAGUACAUAAGAUAUGCCCAAGAUUGUUCACGUUUGUGUAAGACAUGUCUUCGACUGUCUUAAAGUGGCCAUUGUGAGAUUCUGCUCGAGUACGUGAACACAUCUUGUGAUACAGGACAUUGUGUGAUAACAGUAUGAUGUAUUCCUUUGAACCUUACUCUAUAUUCAUGGUGUUGCUCAAUGCAGUGUGUUAUGCUUGAUCAGCUAAAUAUCUGCCAGACAUUACGUUGUUUCAUUUCCCUAUAAAAGUAACACCCCUUGUACAAUAAAGUUGAGCUUAGAAUGAACUACA